GCGCUGUUAGCUCAGAUGGAUAGAGCAAUUGCCUUCUAAGCAAUCGGUCACUGGUUUGAAUCCAGUAUGGCGCA
rnacentral:tRNA from 2 species